rnacentral:rRNA from 1 species
CGAACGUUACCUACGAGAAUGGAUUGGUGCCUUCGGGAACUGUGAGACAGGUGCUGCAUGGCUGUCGUCAGCUCGUGUUGUGAAAUGUUGGGUUAAGUCCCGCAACGAGCGCAACCCUUAUCCUUUGUUGCCAGCGGUUAGGCCGGGAACUCAAAGGAGACUGCCAGUGAUAAACUGGAGGAAGGUGGGGAUGACGUCAAGUCAUCAUGGCCCUUACGACCAGGGCUACACACGUGCUACAAUGGCGCAUACAAAGAGAAGCAAUCUCGCGAGAGCAAGCGGACCUCAUAAAGUGCGUCGUAGUCCGGAUUGGAGUCUGCAACUCGACUCCAUGAAGUCGGAAUCGCUAGUAAUCGUGAAUCAGAAUGUCACGGUGAAUACGUUCCCGGGCCUUGUACACACCGCCCGUCACACCAUGGGAGUGGGUUGCAAAAGAAGUAGGUAGCUUAACCUUCGGGAGGGCGCUUACCACUUUGUGAUUCAUGACUGGGGUGAAGUCGUAACAAGGUAAGCGUAGAUGA